rnacentral:misc_RNA from 1 species
UGAGAAGUAGCUGAAACUCAAAAGUUCACGAGCUGCCAUCCCAGUGUGCAUCAAAAUCUAUCUAGAAAUAAGCUCAACUAAGCAUUUACAGCCAUUUGGAAUUGCUGUGGAACACGAAGCAAGGGAGCUUGGGCAGCCCCAGGCUUGCCAAGUUGGCCACAAGCAGCCAUCUGAUCAUCCCCUCUACUGUGCCUCAAGAAAACAGUGCAUUUGGCCUCUGCCAAAAUAUUUCGAAACUCU